ensembl:snRNA U1 U1 spliceosomal RNA
AUGCUCACCUAGCAGGGGAGACACCACGGUCACAAAGGCAGUGUCCUCAGGGUGAGCCUUGUCCACUGCACUCCAAAUGGGCUGCCCUUGCGAUCACCCCAGAUAAGGGAAACUCAACCGCCAAAUUAGUGGAGC